rnacentral:rRNA from 1 species
UGCAUUGUUCAAACUGAGCUCAACUCCUGAUGCAUGGAGAAAAGGCCUUCACAAGCAUCUUCUAUUGUGUACAUAGUUUAUACUAAGUGAAGCGGCGGUAAAGGAGGAGGAUGAGGUAGCCAACAUUGUUUUUUAUUUGUUUGUUUAUUUUAAUUGGGGUAGCCCCCAAAAUAUUGGGACAUAUAAAAAAAGAAAACUCUUUUCAAUGUGCUCCCCAACGAGACGGCGACGACGCAUUCGUAUGUCAAUCCAUAUCAACUUUCGAUGCCAUUGACUGCGCCUACCAUAGUGAUCAUGGGUAACGGGGAAUCAGAGUUCCAUUCCUGAGCGGGAACCUGAGAAACAGCUACCACAUGCAAGGAAGGCAGCA